AUGACAAGAAACCCGUGCUGAUACCAGAUAUUAUUGUUUUUCCUCAGAAGAUUUCAAAAAUGGAAACAAUACAAAAAAGCUUCAGAGUUUAGCGAGGUCUUUUUUUUAUUAUUUUCACAGUAGAGAUGGAAAAAAAAAACUUGGAAUGGAAACAGUUGAACACACUGCCUCUACAAUCCUGGUCGUACAAAUAGUGACUAAGAAUUCAAAGAAAGGACUCUUUCUAUUCCAUACUGGAGCUUUGGUUGUUUACAAACCACAUGGAUAUCUGUGGGUGCAGUUUUUGUUUUUUUCUUGUUUGUUUCUAUAAUUUUGUUGUUUUGUUUUUUUUAAAUGAGACGGGUGGGGUUUGCAAGUGCGCUUCUGCCAUAUGGACAUUGAGUGGCUUUGGAUUUUUUUGAGGAAGAGUGGCAGGCAUCACAACAACCACACGGACAAGAUCCUCUAACUGGACCUUAGUGUGUGGCCGUGGAUCCUGAGACUCAAUGAUCAACCGUGGAGUGGAGGUGGGAAAAUCAAGGAUUGCCUCUGUUAUGUGGCGAGCAGAGUGCAGGGCUGCAUAACCCUAGAGGGAACUGCGAGGGCGACAUGAGUACACCUGGUUUGUGCACUUGUCUUCACCUCAACCCUCAUAAGCACUCACACCCUGCCCUCAACAACUCACCUAUGCACUUUUGUUCAUUCAAGCUGUGAGGUACCAUUUCGGGGAUGGGAGCACAAUUACAACAGGAGGAUUGCUACGGCUUUGACAAAGUCACUGAAAAGAUAUUCCCAAACUGAAAUAAGAGACUCGAAGCUCGUCUUCUCUCACCUCCUGUAUAUAGUCAUAUUUUUGUAUUACCUUUCAGAGUAGACAGAAAAUUUACAAAUGGAUGAAGGAAAACUCAUGAGACAUUUGAUUACAUGGAGUGAAUGUUCUUCAAGAAAACCAAUCUUUUUUUUUUUUUCUUUUUUUUUGAAAAUAGUUUGUGAAAGACUGAGUCUUUGCUGUGAAUUUCCCUUAGUUUGCCAGUCACCCUGAAAUAACCGGGGAUGGAAGGGAAAACCACACGGACUGAGAUGCUGGACAUGCUGCAGUGUCUCCAAGACUCACUAAUGGUUACUUUUGGAAGUGGAUGUAAAGCUCCACCGAGUGUUUGCCGACACACACUGAAGCAGCAGACAUUUGUUGGAAGAGCUUUGGACUAGGAUGCUUCCACUUCGUCUCCUGACCCAGUGAUUGCCUUGAGAGCUGUAGCAUGACUGCAGGAGGAAAAAUUCUUGACAUUGGCUUCUGGCUGUGCUUUAUUUGCUGCCCUCCGCAAAGAGGAUCUAAUCUACAGCCAAGCCACGAAACCAGUCAACCCUAAACCUGGUGUUUGAACUUAAAUCCUAAGAAACUUUUCUGUCUUGACCUCGGACUGGGCAGGCUAUUGGCAUUAUCAGUUGGACAGCGGCCAGAUGAAGUUACAGGUUUAUCAACCAUGGAUUCCAUCUGCACUGGAAGUGUUAGGUUGGGCAUUUGAUCAAGCGCUCUUUGGCAAGAGUAUAAAUGAAACGCAAGUUGCCCAGAUGUCAUCAUCCACCUCGGCGUGAAACUCUCGGGCGGUUUGGUGGAGGUCUUUUAAACAGAGCGGACAGAAGAGCUGCCCUCCUGCCCAGACGUCACAGACCGGAGAGCUGGGUCGGGUUUCGGCAGAUGUGGCUGGAUUACAUCUAAGCCACUGUACAUCCCUGCAGCUGUGGAACUGGAUGAACUGAAAGAAUUGUACAAAAAAAAAAGACUUUAAAACAUGACAAAACACAAACACGUAGCUACAUGUCACAUAGAUUCAAGAGUCCAAAGGAGUGGCAGACACUACAUGCACACUUGGAGCAAAAGCAACGUACACUCAGUUACAUUGGCUCUCCUCUGGAAGCACGUCUGCAUACAGGGCUACAUCAAUAGCAAAUCACACAAGAUAAAUACGGACUCACAAGCAUUGACGCUCUUCACUAUAAAUGCUGAGCUUUGUAAAUAAUGUAAACGUUUGUGUUUUGAUUUUCCUCGCUAGGUUUUGCUUUAUUUCUCUGUUCAACAUGCCUUAAAUUGUAUAGUUCAGUCCUGAGCGGCAAACUGAAAAUGUUCUCGAAAAGAUGAAUUUGAGUUGGAAACCACCUCGUCAACUAUCCUCUAAAGUUAAAGAAAGAAGAGCUUUCGUCAAAAACUGUUUUCUGUCGGCUAACAGAACUGUCCAUUCUGUAUUAUAUUGAGAAAAAUGUACAUCUGAUCACCAUGAAAGUUCUGAGUUAGCUACAGAAUAACGCGGCAAAGCGCUCUUUGAUUAAUCUGAUUGUGCUGGUGGUUUGCUUACGUUGCCCUUUUGGUUUCCUUAAAAAUUAAGAGUGGAUUUGUUUAGAUUUUCUUUGUAGAUUAAUGCUUAAAGUGCAGGCUGAAAUCUGUACUGUGUGGAGCUGAGCUGACGGGGUGGGAUGCACAGACACGUUGCUGUCCGAUGACUAUUGUUGGAGACACCGCUUUAGGCUAAACUGAACCAGAGUGGCAGGUCAUCCGGAAAAAAUUUGGGGUUUUUUGGAUGUUUAUUUUUCUACACUCCGGGGAUUUGAAUCAUUUGGAUGCAAUGAGGUACUUUUUUGGCAGUAUGGAGAGUGCGAUUCAGGCUUGUAAGAGAACAUUUCUAUUUGUGGGUUUGGACACUAAAACUUUAAGUGGGUCACUUCAUGGUCCAGACGGCCUUGGGUCGUGCUGGUGACCACCACGGCUGGCACUGAAUAGAGAAGGACUCGGCCGGUUGCUUGUGCAUUAUCUGAAAGGAAAUUCUCGCAGAUAUGGAUAGUGUUUUAUUCUGAAUAUGUAAAUCAAAUUAGAUGUGCAGGAUGAGCGCUUAUAGUCAACGAGAAGUUUUCUCUUUUUGUGUCUUUGAUUACGAAACAAUAUGCAGUUUUUAAGUCGAAAUGUCAACUGAUAUUCAUUGAUUACUAUCCGCUCAGUUGUACAUUUUGAGUAGCUGAGGUUCUGGUAGAUUGUUAGCUGCCAUUGUUGGCUCCAGUCAGUCAUAACUGAUGAAUUGAUACUGAAUUACUUUAAAAAAUACCAAACGUUUGACGAUUUCAAAAGCAAUUACUGUGUGGGAUUAGUCGUCAGACAGACGGUCUGUCUUAAAGGAGUAAACUGUAGUUGUCUGUGGUUUAUUUUACUGAACUAAAGCUUUUACGAUUAGAUAAACUGCAGCAUUGUCGUCAAAAAGCCCCGGGUGUUUGGUUGCUGUCUUUUGAAAAGAUCCCGUCCUCUGAUGAAGUUGAUCUUCUGGUUCAGUGUAGCUCUGGAAACUGUUGCUCCAACAAUAUCAGCCUAAAAGACUUAAUGAAAGUUGUUCUCCCUGUCAGUCUCAGCUCCUCCUGCUUAAUAAUAAGUCUUUUGAAUGUUGUUAAAAUAACAGCAUACAUUUAAUGAAACUGUUUUGGAAAAGAACAACUGAAAGAUGUGUAAAUAGUUUGGCUUUUGUUUGUUUGAAGAACAAAAUAAAUCCUGAAUAAAUAGCAUUUAGCAGUGAA